GUUUACUAGUCUGAAGCUUGGUUUCAAAUGUGCACGUUGUGAUUUUCUUCAUUACCAAGACAGACAGACAGACAGACAGACAGACAGACAGACAGACAGACAGACAGACAAACGGACGGACGGACAGGCAGACAGACAGACAGACAGAGUGAUGUCAUUUUAAGAGAAAUGCAAAUUGCUGAGAUAUAGAUAGAUAGAUAGAUAGAUAGAUAGAUAGAUAGAUAGAUAGAUAGAUAGAUAGAUAGAUAGAUAGAUAGAUAGAUAGAUACUUUAUGAAAUAAAUACUCUUAUUACACCAACAAAGAGCAAGAAUAAAUUCAACUAAACCCAAAUCAAUAAAAGAACAUAUAUAGAGAUGGAGAUAUAUUUUACAAUUUAUGACUUGAUUGCAAUAUAUCAUUUAUUGCACAGUAAAAAUAACUAAUAUGUUUCUUAUAAAAUAGGAUGUGACUUUUGCGUUUUUAGUCUGUCUAAAAGGUAGAUAUUGAUUUAUUUGGUUACUGACUUUUCAGGAUCGGUUCAGGUUUAGUGGAGAUGCCUGGUUACUCCAAUGUCUUUGAUUAGUUCUUAGCAGGAUAAAGUUGUUGGAAAAAAAAGAGAGAAAAGAAUUCGGUAAGCUGAGGGUGUGGGUAAAAGUAGAAGACUGCAGGCUGCGGCGCGCUUUGGUGUUGUGCGUAAAGGCGCAAGCUAAAGCACUCCGGAAAACACUCCUGUGCGUUCAGCGCGCGUGUGAUUGUUCGGAAAAGUGAUUAUUUAGAAAAGGAAAACGAAAGUCAAAUCCACAGAGAUAUACGCCGGAUGCUGUGCAUAUUAAACCGCAGGUGUGGUAAUGGGGUGCACAUGGAGGUGAAUUGCAAACAAAUAAAAUAAUAAUAAUAUUAAAUAAUAAUAAAUAAUAAAUAUAUAUUAAAUGCAGUAUUCAAAUGAUUGCCAUUGUUGAUUGAUAGUAUUGUGCUAUUAUUUUUUUAAAAGAAAAUAUAUUAGUGUGGGUGGUUGUGUAAAACUGUGUUUGUGUGUGUGUGUGUGUGUGUGUGUGUGUGUGUGUGUGUGUGUGUGUGUGUGUGUGUAAAGAAAAGCAUCAGAACUGUGCUUUUGGACCGUCGUUCAGUGUGUGUGUGUGUGUGUGUGUGUGUGUGUGUGUAAAAGAGAGAAAUAAAUUGAGAGAUGAAAGGUGAAAGGUUUCUAUUCAGUCAAAAGGCAGUCAGUAUGCUCACAUACACGUACAUCCAGUUACACGAGACACAAAGGACAUAAAAAGAGUGUGAGUGCGAGAGUGUGUAUACGCAUCUCUGUGGAACGCUUGAGUCAGAGCGAAUCAAGAGACGUCCAGACAAAGUGCAUUAAAUUCUAACCACCGAGUCACACUCUCAAAACUGCAUACAAGUGCAAUUUACUAAGUGCUAUUUAAAAGAAAAAGAAAUGAAUUCGACAGAAAAGUAGGAAAGAAAAUGCAGGAAAGAGUGUGCGUGUGUUCCAUUUCUAUUUCAACUCUAAAUUAUUUUAAUACUACGGCUCGCCCUGUGAAAUGAAGUAAUGAUAUCAAACCAGGCAGAUUUCUUAUACACUGGUCUGCUCACUAACUCUCGUAACUCUUGAGCAAGUUCUACAGACUUGAAAUGACUGUAGAGUUUUAUUUUAUUAUUAUUUCUGGAUUUUGCAAACCUAGGGAAUUUUAGGGUUAGGACUAUAGAGCUAAGAGUGCAGGGGAGCAUUUGGGCUACAAGCACUUAUUAAGAAAGGAAAGAGAGGAAUGGGGCACGGAAGGAGGGAAUGAUAGAGCGGGAAAAUGGGAGGGACAAAACAUUCCGUGCUCAUGCUCAUGCUCAUUUUUUUUAUAAGUUUCUAUUGUUAACACCAUCUAUUAAUAUGGAGGACUUUGUUGCAAAAAAGUCUUUGUCUUUUAUUUGUACAAAAGAAAACAGAUUAUAUGCAUGGUUUACUCUUUUCUCGCCUUUUCUUGCCUGUAUUUAUUUUGUUUGCGAAAGACGGCCAGCUCGUCAAAGGGCUCGGACACAUUCACAGACUGGGCUUUUCCGCUAACUUUGCCCAUAGGCAACCAUUUGCGACAAAUGGAGAAUUAUAUAAAUAUAUAAACAAAUAUAUAUAUAUAUAUAUAUAUAUAUAUAUAUAUAUAUAUAUAUAUAUAUAUAUAUAUAUAUACAUUCACAAAAUACAAAACUAAUAUUUUGAAGUGUUUUUAUCCAAUAGAUUUUUUCAAAUCUUGUGGUACAAGUUGUGCAUUUGUUUGUUUUUUGUUUGUUUGUUAGUUUGUUUUUUGUUUUUUCUUUGUGGUUUUUUUUUCUCAAAGAAAAAACAAGAUUACAAAAAAAAUGUCUCUUUUUGAUUUGUUUGGAUUACUUUUUUUUCUCUUCGGUUCACUGGAGGCUCUGUUCAGCACUUUGAAAUCAUAAAGAAAAAAAUGAUUA